CUUUGCGCCGGUUGCCGCUGUGAGGUGGUGUGGGUAGUGUCCUCCGUUCAGUAGGCAGCCGCAGCUCUAGAGGAGGCACCUCGCAUCCAGGAGAAUUAUUCCUGCCUGGAGACAUGACAUAAUUUCUGAAUAAACUCCAGCUUCCUAACUGUUGCAGUACCAACGACAUCAAGCAUUAGACUUCCCUACAAAGUGUACGUCACCUUAGGCCAGCACAACAGGAAGAAUUCUUUUGACUGGGCUGAAAGAACCAACAUUUACUCAAAGCCUCUCAUUCAACACAGCGGAUGGCGUACCUGCCUUGCUGAAACUGGAGAUGCUUUCUGUGAUGUGGUCAG